rnacentral:rRNA from 1 species
AUUGAACGCUAGCGGGAUGCUUAACACAUGCAAGUCGAACGAGUGGCGGACGGGUGAGUAAUAUUUCGGAACGUGCCCAGUAGCGGGGGUUAACUACUCGAAAGAGUGGCUAAUACCGCAUACCAUUCGAGCGGCCGAUAUCGGAUUAGCUAGUUGGUGGGGUAAAGGCUAACCAAGGCAACGAGCCGUAGCUGGUCUGAGAGGACGACCAGCCACACUGGGACUGAGACACGGCCCAGACUCCUACGGGAGGCAGCAGUGGGGAAUUUUGGGCAAUGGGGGAAACCCUGAUCCAGCAAUGCCGCGUGUAUGAGAAGGCCUUCGGGUUGUAAAGUACUUUUAGCAGGGAAGCGGUAUCUGCAGAAUAAGCACCGGCUAACUACGUGCCAGCAGCCGCGGUAAUUC